GCCUCGGUAGCGCAGUAGGCAGCGCGUCAGUCUCAUAAUCUGAAGACUGUGAGUUSGAGCCUCACCCGGGGCA
rnacentral:tRNA from 1 species